AGAGUUUGAUCAUGGCUCAGAUUGAACGCUGGCGGCAGGCCUAACACAUGCAAGUCGAGCGGUAGCACAGAGAGCUUGCUCUCGGGUGACGAGCGGCGGACGGGUGAGUAAUGUCUGGGAAACUGCCUGAUGGAGGGGGAUAACUACUGGAAACGGUAGCUAAUACCGCAUAAUGUCGCAAGACCAAAGUGGGGGACCUUCGGGCCUCAUGCCAUCAGAUGUGCCCAGAUGGGAUUAGCUAGUAGGUGGGGUAACGGCUCACCUAGGCGACGAUCCCUAGCUGGUCUGAGAGGAUGACCAGCCACACUGGAACUGAGACACGGUCCAGACUCCUACGGGAGGCAGCAGUGGGGAAUAUUGCACAAUGGGCGCAAGCCUGAUGCAGCCAUGCCGCGUGUGUGAAGAAGGCCUUCGGGUUGUAAAGCACUUUCAGCGGGGAGGAAGGCGUUGAGGUUAAUAACCUCAUCGAUUGACGUUACCCGCAGAAGAAGCACCGGCUAACUCCGUGCCAGCAGCCGCGGUAAUACGGAGGGUGCAAGCGUUAAUCGGAAUUACUGGGCGUAAAGCGCACGCAGGCGGUCUGUCAAGUCGGAUGUGAAAUCCCCGGGCUCAACCUGGGAACUGCAUUCGAAACUGGCAGGCUAGAGUCUUGUAGAGGGGGGUAGAAUUCCAGGUGUAGCGGUGAAAUGCGUAGAGAUCUGGAGGAAUACCGGUGGCGAAGGCGGCCCCCUGGACAAAGACUGACGCUCAGGUGCGAAAGCGUGGGGAGCAAACAGGAUUAGAUACCCUGGUAGUCCACGCCGUAAACGAUGUCGAUUUGGAGGUUGUGCCCUUGAGGCGUGGCUUCCGGAGCUAACGCGUUAAAUCGACCGCCUGGGGAGUACGGCCGCAAGGUUAAAACUCAAAUGAAUUGACGGGGGCCCGCACAAGCGGUGGAGCAUGUGGUUUAAUUCGAUGCAACGCGAAGAACCUUACCUGGUCUUGACAUCCACAGAACUUUCCAGAGAUGGAUUGGUGCCUUCGGGAACUGUGAGACAGGUGCUGCAUGGCUGUCGUCAGCUCGUGUUGUGAAAUGUUGGGUUAAGUCCCGCAACGAGCGCAACCCUUAUCCUUUGUUGCCAGCGGUUCGGCCGGGAACUCAAAGGAGACUGCCAGUGAUAAACUGGAGGAAGGUGGGGAUGACGUCAAGUCAUCAUGGCCCUUACGACCAGGGCUACACACGUGCUACAAUGGCAUAUACAAAGAGAAGCGACCUCGCGAGAGCAAGCGGACCUCAUAAAGUAUGUCGUAGUCCGGAUUGGAGUCUGCAACUCGACUCCAUGAAGUCGGAAUCGCUAGUAAUCGUAGAUCAGAAUGCUACGGUGAAUACGUUCCCGGGCCUUGUACACACCGCCCGUCACACCAUGGGAGUGGGUUGCAAAAGAAGUAGGUAGCUUAACCUUCGGGAGGGCGCUUACCACUUUGUGAUUCAUGACUGGGGUGAAGUCGUAACAAGGUAACCGUAGGGGAACCUGCGGUUGGAUCACCU
rnacentral:rRNA from 1 species